rnacentral:rRNA from 1 species
ACGGAAGGCAGCAGUGGGGAAUAUUGCACAAUGGGGGAAACCCUGAUGCAGCAACGCCGCGUGAGCGAUGAAGGUCUUCGGAUCGUAAAGCUCUGUCCUUAGGGACGAAGAAGUGACGGUACCUAAGGAGGAAGCCCCGGCUAACUACGUGCCAGCAGCCGCGGUAAUACGUAGGGGGCGAGCGUUAUCCGGAAUUAUUGGGCGUAAAGAGUACGUAGGUGGCUAUGUAAGCGCAGGGUGAAAGCCCGGGGCUUAACCCCGGUUAGCCCUGCGAACUGUAUGGCUUGAGUGCAGGAGGGGAAAGUGGAAUUCCUAGUGUAGCGGUGAAAUGCGUAGAUAUUAGGAGGAACACCGGUGGCGAAGGCGACUUUCUGGACUGUAACUGACACUGAGGUACGAAAGCGUGGGGAGCAAACAGGAUUAGAUACCCUGGUA